GCAUCUGUGAAACACUGGUUCCUGUAUGAUCACCUAAGUUAAGCAACAUUGACUCUAGUUAGUAUCUAGAUGGGUGAUCACUUGGGAAUUCCAGGUGCUGUAA